UCGAAAUCGGUAGACGCUACGGANNNAAAAUCCGUUGGCUUUUUAGACCGUGAGGGUUCAAGUCCCUCUACCCCCA
rnacentral:tRNA from 1 species